GACGAACGCUGGCGGCGCGCCUAACACAUGCAAGUCGAACGAGAGAGGAAGAGCUUGCUUUUCCGAUCGAGUGGCGAACGGGUGAGUAACGCGUGAGGAACCUGCCUCAAAGAGGGGGACAACAGUUGGAAACGACUGCUAAUACCGCAUAAGCCCACGGCUCGGCAUCGAGCAGAGGGAAAAGGAGCAAUCCGCUUUGAGAUGGCCUCGCGUCCGAUUAGCUAGUUGGUGAGGUAAUGGCCCACCAAGGCGACGAUCGGUAGCCGGACUGGGAGGUUGAACGGCCACAUUGGGACUGAGACACGGCCCAGACUCCUACGGGAGGCAGCAGUGGGGAAUAUUGCACAAUGGGGGAAACCCUGAUGCAGCGACGCCGCGUGGAGGAAGAAGGUCUUUGGAUUGUAAACCCCUGUUGUUGAGGAAGAUAAUGACGGUACUCAACAAGGAAGUGACGGCUAACUACGUGCCAGCCGCCGCGGUAA
rnacentral:rRNA from 1 species